rnacentral:lncRNA from 1 species
UUGUUAAUGCACGAGCAAGAUUCAAUCCUCCCUUGCCUAUUGGAUACUAUGGCAAUGCAUUUGCGUUCCCAGGAGCUCUGACAACAGCUGGAAAGCUCUGUCAGAAUCCAAUUGGAUAUGCCUUGGAGCUUGUCAGGAAAACUAAAGAAGAUGUUACCGAAGAGUACAUGAGAUCUGUCGCAGACCUGAUGGUUUUGAAAGACCGGCCACACUUCACAGCUGUGCGCACCUAUCUCGUGUCUGACGUGACACGUGCAGGAUUCGGAGAAAUUGAUUUUGGAUGGGGAAAACCUGCGUAUGGCGGUCCAGCCAGAGGUGGGGUGGGUGUCAUACCAGGCCUGACUAGUUUUUACAUACCAUUUAAAAACAAGAAGGGUGAGAACGGAAUUGUGAUGCCGAUUUGCUUACCAGCACCUGCAAUGGAAAAAUUCGUAGCCGAACUUGAUGGCAUGUUGAAGAAUAAUGACCAACCGGUAAUCAACCAUACUUCAAUUCAUAUAACAUCAGCACUAUAGAAUUUGCUUAUAUUUGUGAGUCUCAAGUCCAGUAAGAGAAUUUGAUAGCUAAAAGAGAGUGACUAUGUAGCAAUAUGGAAGGUUUAAUUACGGGGUUUACAAUAUGAUCUUCAAAUUGUUUUCCAGUUUCAUCUAGUUUGGUUUACAUGCUUUAAUCUUGAUUAAUCUAAUCCAGUUAUCUAAUUUGUUCUUUUUUAUUUGAGAAGCUAACAAGUAGACUUCAUCAGCUUGGUACUUGACUACCCAUUCUUCUAUCAUCCUGCAUAAACCAAAUUACAGGCAUUAGAAAUAAGUUUACAAAAAACAAAGAGAGAAAGAUUCAUGCAUUAAGACCUUGAUGGACACAACCAAAAUUGGUAGAAGAGCCGUUUGUAAAUUUAACCUAGGAUUGACGUGUUUAGUGAGAAAUCAUACAAGUAAAAUCAACUGCCAUGUACGAUGAAAAAGGCCAAUCUUAAGCGGCAAAGCAAGCGAUAAGGUAUAAGGUUUGUUUAAAAAACACAAAAAAUAGAAACGAGUUCAAUUCCCUUUCCUGUGUGAGGAUUAUAUUUUUCAAAAAAAAAACCAAAAUAUUGUUCAGCGGCACUUGUAUCAAGCUUCUUUGCAGAAGGUUCAGAUCCCCUGUAAUCACAACAUUUGAUAUUAUGAAGUCCCAACAAAAUCUUAAAAUGUACUCAUUCUCUCCCACUAUAUACAUACGAAUGAGAGGGAGAUCAAGACAUGUGUAUAAAAUAAUAUAUAUUAAUGAGAAAAGAAAUAAUAGUGGAUGAAAUGACAAGACUCAUCAAUAUUUCAUUGGUAAAAUCAGAAAUAUAGUCGAAAGUACUUUGUGGGUGAGAUUUUUAUAUUACAAAAAUCUAUUAUUUUAAAUUUUUUUUAACAAAUAUAAAAUUGAGUGUGGUCAAUAUAUAACAGGCAAAUAUUUCUAUACUAACCGUUGUUUGGUCCGACACUCCAUUUCCCAAAUCAAAUUAUAGGGGCCAUUUGGAUCGUACAUGGGCGUAGGGAAUGAGAAUGGAGGGUCUGAGAAUGGGGAGAAACAGGAUUGGGAAUGAGGUUACUGAUAUUUUUUGGAUCGUAUUGGAAUCGGAUUGAGAUUACCACAUGCUGCGUGGUUUAUACUGGAAUGGGAAUCAGAAUACUUUUUUAAAUAAUUAAAAAUUUUCUUAUAUGUUUUUAAUAAUUAAAAAAAAAUUCUAUUUUUUUACUCCUUUUAGAAAUAUGAAAUAAUUCCAAAAAUCAUAUUCUUAUUACUUUUUUGUAGAAAUUAAAUUUUUUAUUUUUACAUGGAUAAUUGAAAUUCAUAAUUUACUUUCACUAUCAAUUCAUUCUUCAUUUUUUUUAUUAUUUAUUUGAAUUUUCAAAAAACCGUAAUGUCUUACUAAAAAUAUGAAAAAUAAUCAAAAUCGUAAGAAAAAAAAUGAAAAAUCCUACAAGAAUAUGCUUUAAUUAUCCAAUAUUACAAACUUUGACAUACUUUGCACAAACCACAUCAAUCAACAUAGUUGGAUUAUGACAUGGUUUAACUCAAAUCAAAAUAUUGAAUAACAUAACUUGUUCAAUUCAGCUAUAAUAUUCCCACUUAGACAUUUAAUCAAACACCUUGAUACCAGUUUUCAUGAGCAGAUAAUAAACACACAGCACAACAGAAUCAUAAAUUGCAUAAAUGGCUUGCAUAAAUGGUGAGCCAAUUUACACAAACAUAUGCAUAUAUUUGUGACGAGAGUAUAGAUAUGAUGAGAGUUUUGUGUAAAAAGUUACCUUGGAAAGAGCCUUGACUAUCGAGCAAAUGGAGAGUAGAGAGAGAGAGAGAGAGAGAGGGGCAGGCGAGAUCGAGAUCGAGAGAGAGGUGAGAGGCGAGAUGAAAGACAGGAAGAAUGAUGAUAGAGAGAAACGAAGAAACGAUGAAAGAGAAAUGUAUAUCGAGUGAGCAGAAGAUUGAGAAUCAAAUUUCGUAAUUCGGGGUACAGGCCAGGUUUGUGUUAACAUGCCAGAGGUCUACGAGUUUCCAUUCCCUUGUCUUAAAAAUUUAAUCCAAACACAAGGUUACGGAAUGGGAAGCCCAUUCCCAUUUACCAAGCCCAUAAGCCUCCAACCAAACACCCCCAUAGUUUUUUUCUUAUGGAACGGAAAUAGUUUAAAAUUUGAACUACUUGCAGGUAAAAUGUCUACUUAAUUUUUCGAUAUUUCAUACAGAUAAAUGCAGACUCUUUACCUAGGUUCUAGGGGUCAAAAUGACAAGAGUGGAAGUGUGGAACCAUGUAUACCUCUCUUCAUCAUUGGCUUGACAUCAAUUCAUAAGAAUAAAGUUAGAUCCGCAGAAAUCACCAGAUUUAUCUCGGAGCAUUACCCGGGCCUACCAGGCCUGAUAAUCAAUUUCAUUUUGGACUGCUCCCAAGUCAUAUUUCACGAGUGAGUUUAAAGUUGAGCUUUAAACUAUACUUCGAUUUUAAGCUGAAAAUAUUUGUUUGUUAAAUAAGUCGGAAACCGACAUAAAAUUAAUAAUAAGUCAAAACUGAUUUUAAAUCAGAAAUUAGUUUGAAUUUUUUUUUUCGGUGGCUUCAUUUUCUUAAACUUUUUUAUGAUAAAAGUUACCCAUAAAUUACCCUUAAAUCACGUUUUUUUAAAUAACUCAUAAAUUAUUAAUAAGUUAAAAAUAUCCACAGAAACAUGUUACACUCUCAAUUUAUCACAAUAAAUCAGAUUAGGUCAUAAGUCUUAAUUUUGAAUUCAAGCAAACGGAAAUCUAAAAUCGAAUACAUAUCAAUAUAACUAGGAGUUCACGGAAUCCUUGGGUCAAUAUUAUUAAGCUAAAAACAUUUCCCAUGAUGAAAAUGAUCAUAAAUUACAAUCCCACCAGGAAAUUCAGAGUUUUAAUUGCCAUUCUAACAACGUGUUUGGACAAACUUUUCUUUUCAAAUUUUAGGAUUUAUUUUUUUCUUUACGAUCCAAUUGUCUAUAGUGUAAAUUGCCUAAAAUAUCUAUUUUUCCCUCUACCACGAUUUCCUGAAAGACGGGUGUUUCUAGGAUACCCCUCCAUCCAUCAUGGACUCUAUAAUAUCCGGUUUAGCCAUGCACCUUUGCAAGUUCUGAUCCAUACGAUGCAAGAUAUCUAAAAGUUUAGUAUUACUUGCCAAAAUCGGGAGAUCGACUACCAGGCAUGUUCUAUGGAUACAUAUCAUGUUUUGGGACAUACUCCUCCACAGACUCAUCCUCAAUGUAGUAGCUUCCAUCUUCAUACAAAUUAUCAACACAAAUCAUCCUUUUUUUCCUCCUAAGGUUCAGACGUUUAAUCCCCUCAUUCUAGUUUCAAUUUGUUGAUGGAAGAAUUUGAUAGUCAACAAAAAUGAGGUUGUUUGCAGGAACAAAAAUCUAUUUUAGUGGUUGUUUGACGGAAUGUGGUUGAGUGUGUUUAUGGGUGGCUGAGAUAAAAAAAGAUUGUAGGUUGCUUUCUUGAUCUCAACUUUCGGUCCUUUCAAUGCGCCUAUAUACCCUGUAUUUAUAGGAACAAGGCAUAUGUAGUUCUUGAAGGCCAAGAAAUCUAAGUCGAUUAGAAUUAAUAGGUUUCUUGUGGAUGAGUCAUAGACUAAGGCGGUAGCCCAUUGGUCUUCUAGAGUCUUCAAGAGUCAUCAACUAAGACGGUUUUGAUAUGUUUGGAGGGUGUUAUUUUACACCAACUAUGAGAAAGAUUGUAGAAGGGGGGGGUUGAAUACAAUCUUUUACAAAUUUAAAAGAUUCAAGAAUGAUACACUAAGAACACAGUAAACAGAAAAACACCAAGUAUUAAAAAUACGGGUGGAUUGAAUGAUCCACCCGUGAGAUUUUAUAUAGAAGAAUCUGUGGAUUGUUUUACAAUUCGCACAGCUGCUGGUUCAUCACUCAAAACUAGUUCUAACUCUCAGAUUUUUCUCUCAAGUAAUUUGAACAAGUUCAACUGAUGCUACUAACUUGGUUAUAUACUCCAAGUUUUACAAAGCUUUUAGCUAGAUUACAAAAUGCACUCUAAUCUAAAAACAAUGCUGCACAACUUUGUCUUAUGCAUGCUUUCUGAGAUGUCUUCAUCUUUGACCAUCAUCUUGAUUUGAUCCAGAUUGCAUUGCAUGAGAUAAGUAUGUUUCUGCUUCUUCUUUAUUUUCCUAAUUAGGCUUCCAUGUCUAUUUUAGUGUAAUUCGAUCCAUGUGAUUUGUCAGACUUAAGCUCUAGUCACUUUCAACUGCUCUUUGCUUCAUCAGUUGAAAGUUCUGGUUACUUUCAACUGCUCUUGACUUCAUCAGUUGAAUGCCCGGCUCAUCAGUUGAAUGAAUUACAAACUUCAUCAGUUGAAUGCUGUUCCAGUCUCAUCAGUUGAAUUCCUCAGCAUCAUCAGUUGAACACUUUGUCUUCAGUUGAAUGCUUGAUUUUCAUCAGUUGAAACAUCAUCCAGUCUUCAUCAGUUGAAUAGUUACAUCUCAUCAGUUGAAUAUCCUUCACUUAGAUAAAAUUACAUGGCAUUGGAUAUUUACAAUUAGCCAUCCUAUUCUACCCAUCCGUUGAUAAUUCCCAAAGACAAGAAAUAUAACAAUUACAACUGAAAUUUGAUAAAGAUUCUAAGUAAGACAUGUUACAAAAUGUUUAUGUUAUCAUCAAAAAUUAUUGAUUCCUAACAAUCUCCCCCAAUUUAUGACUGGAGAAGAUGCAGACAUAAAUUCUACACUUGAUGAUAACAAAACAUUAAUAAAAUAAAAUGCAGAAUUUAAAUACAAGAGUUAGAAAAGAUUACAGAUGAUUAUGCUCCUCUAGACUGAGCAGUUACUUGUUCCUAGAAGAUCUUCUUCUUCUGGACUUAAGUUUUUCUUCAAGAAUAUUAAUCUGCUUCUGAAAGAUCCUGUAGAACCAUUCUUCAUCACUAUCUUGUCUGUUGAGCUUGGAUUGGAGAGUCUUCAGAGUAUUCAAGCUAGCAACCUUGAGUUGAUCUUUAGGUCUGAAAAAUCUCCUAACACCUUGAUUGUCCCUAAAUUCCAUGACUGGAGUAGGUUCAUGAUGAAUUUUCUUUCCAGUGUAGGGAAUUUUCAGCCUUCUUUGUAGACUAGCAUCUGAGUUCCAUUCCUUCCUGAUCUCAAGGAUUCUCUUUAGUACCAUUUGCUUUGCAGGUGGUGUAAAUCCUCCAGUCCUCUUCAUAGAUCCAUAUAUUUUUGUUAGAGAACUGAAUCCCUCAGAAUUCAGAACUCUGUGAAGAGGCCAGAUGACAUCACCCUUGUUUUUGUAAGAGAAUACCAAUCUUUCAGGUAACUUUGAAGUUGCUUCUAUUCCUCUUACUUCUUGAAGAUCAUCCAGCUCCAGCUCCAACUCAGAAAUUUCUUCAAUGUUAGCAAUGAUCAGAUAGUCAUCAGGAUUUUCAGGUUCUUUUGGAGGUUUAGGAGGGUUAGCCAUCCUCUUAGCCACAGACUUGACUUUCUUCUUUGGCUUGGAAGAUUCUUGAACAAGAAAAGCUGGAAUUGGGAUAUCUUCCAAGUCAAUUGGCUCCUCCUUUGGCAUUAUUGGCUCAUCAUGGAAGUUGACAUCUGGAUGUACUACUGUGGUGUCCUUGAUUGGAGAAGAAGGCUUUGAGAUAGGCUUUUCUGGCACUUCUUCUCUUCUCUUGGCUGCCUCAGGCAUCUUAGUCUUAGAUUUGACUCUCUUUUUCUUUGGAGAAGAUUCAAGAGGCAAUCUUUCCUCAUUUAAAAGCUCAGCUGCCAACUCCUCUUCCAGCUCAAUAGCAAACCUUUCAUCCACCUCUAUUUGAUUUAGAGAGAGUUGAGAUUCAAACUCCUCUUUUUCACAUUCUCUGGCCACCUCUUCAGCUUUUGCAUAUGAGAAAUGAGGAUGGCCAGUUCCAAUAAACAACUUCUGGCCUUCUCUGUAGAUGAUGGCAAAAUGAGUCUUUAAGGCCACAUCUGCACAAUCUUUAUAACUUUUGAUUUCUUGGCCCAAAAGCUUGUAUUCAUUUUUGUCAGGCCUGGCUAAUGGAAAGUAGAUUGAGCUUGAGUCUUUUCCAGGCCUGGAGUAACCACAAUUGUUUGGAAACAGAGUUGGUUUGAACUCAUUCAGAAAUGAUGGCUCACCCUUCUCUGUCUUGGAGGGAAUAACAAUCUCAGGUGUGAUUACCCUGAGAAUUGUGGUUGUGGUUGGAAAAGAGAUUUGAGCUGUAGUGGCUGUAGAAGAUGUAGAUGAUUUCUUGCCCAAUUGAGCCACUCUCUUUGCAAUGGAGUCCAAUUCUUUCAUCCUUUCAAUCUUUUGCUUUUCCCUUUCAGUGUGGAAAGGAGGAGGAAUUUGACUGAUUAAUUCUGCAGGAGUUGGUAAUUCUUUCUCCCCCUUUUUGUUAGCAGCAAGUGUAAGGGAUGGACUGGGAAGAGAAGCACCAGAGGCAAGAAGAAGAUGUUGAAGGAGUCCAGUCUGAAUUCUUUGAUGCUGCAACAUCUCAUCCAUCCUAGAGUUUAAGAUAUAGACAUUGCCUUCCAGAGCUUCUACUUGCUUUUCCAAUUGCAGUUGUUUUUGCUCAGAACCAGAAAUAGCUGAUUUGACCUGAGCUGGAAGCUUUUCAUCAAUUUGUUUGGUCAGAUCAGUCUUAACAGAGGCAAUGAGACAAUUGAGAUGCUCUAUCUCUUUCUGAAAGUGGAGAGAUUGAUAUUUGUGAAGCUUGAGGUUUUCCAAAGCUUGACUGGCAAUGGUGGCAGAGAUGGCUUGAGAGGAGGAUAAGCUUCCAGGUUGUGAUUGAAGAAUGGUGGAGGCUUGCCUUUCCAGCUCCAUGCUGACAACCAUUGCAUUUGCAGACUGCAUGGAGAGCCAUGAAGGUAAAGAAGUGGUAGGUUGUUCACCAAGGGAUUCCUCAAGAGCAUCAUUGAGGUCUUCAUCACUAUCAUCAUAUUGAAAAUCAUCUCCAGCAUUGGCAGGCAGAGCUGUAAAUGCCUCCUUUGCUCUAAGCAUAGAAGAUGUAGUGUGAAUCAGAUUGAGGUGCCUCUCAGCUGCUUGAUUUAUCCNNNNNNNNNNNNNNNNNNNNNNNNNNNNNNNNNNNNNNNNNNNNNNNNNNNNNNNNNNNNNNNNNNNNNNNNNNNNNNNNNNNNNNNNNNNNNNNNNNNNNNNNNNNNNNNNNNNNNNNNNNNNNNNNNNNNNNNNNNNNNNNNNNNNNNNNNNNNNNNNNNNNNNNNNNNNNNNNNNNNNNNNNNNNNNNNNNNNNNNNNNNNNNNNNNNNNNNNNNNNNNNNNNNNNNNNNNNNNNNNNNNNNNNNNNNNNNNNNNNNNNNNNNNNNNNNNNNNNNNNNNNNNNNNNNNNNNNNNNNNNNNNNNNNNNNNNNNNNNNNNNNNNNNNNNNNNNNNNNNNNNNNNNNNNNNNNNNNNNNNCACCACACAACUCACCUCUCCCUUNNNNNNNNNNNNNNNNNNNNNNNNNNNNNNNNNNNNNNNNNNNNNNNNNNNNNNNNNNNNNNNNNNNNNNNNNNNNNNNNNNNNNNNNNNNNNNNNNNNNNNNNNNNNNNNNNNNNNNNNNNNNNNNNNNNNNNNNNNNNNNNNNNNNNNNNNNNNNNNNNNNNNNNNNNNNNNNNNNNNNNNNNNNNNNNNNNNNNNNNNNNNNNNNNNNNNNNNNNNNNNNNNNNNNNNNNNNNNNNNNNNNNNNNNNNNAGGUUUAGAGGCUGUGACNNNNNNNNNNNNNNNNNNNNNNNNNNNNNNNNNNNNNNNNNNNNNNNNNNNNNNNNNNNNNNNNNNNNNNNNNNNNNNNNNNNNNNNNNNNNNNNNNNNNNNNNNNNNNNNNNNNNNNNNNNNNNNNNNNNNNNNNNGGGAUUGUGUUUGGAGAAUUUACAAGUGUGGUGUGGAUUAAUUCCACAUCCACAGAAGAGGUUGGGGAUUGUGUUUGAGUUGUGGAAAUAGUAAGAUCAUGAAUAUGGGUGAUUGGUUGAGAGAGGGGCUGUGACUCCACAUUUAUUGGAGUCACAUCAAUCUGACUUUGAGAAGUUAAAGGCAUAAAAUCCAGAAUGGAUGCCUGUGUGCGUGCAGAGUGCUUCAGUUUGUCACUUCUUAGCUUCUUUCUCCCAUAGGCUUUUAUUGGUGAAGAAGUGGUGUCCCUCCCCCUUUUUGACUGUGUCCUUGGCUGAGGACUGUUUUCAAUAACAACAUCCUUUUGGGAGGAUGCUGCUAGGGAUGUGCUUAAAUCCAUAUUAACAUCUACAGUCUUUUGGGAGACUGCAGAGUGGCUAGGCUGGUUAGCACUCACCUCUCCAUCCUUAUCCUUAGGGUUUCUUUGAUGAUCACCCUUUCCCUCCCCCUCACUUCCUCCAAUCACACUCCCCUCAGGCUUGUGUUUCUUAGUUUUUACAACAGAUGCCUUUUGGGAGGCAUCUGAGGUUGGUUUAGAAGACUUGGUUUUAGAGGGUUUUGCUACUUGUGUAGGCUGUUGAUGGGCCUCUUCAACAGCCCUGAUAGCAGAAAGCAAAGAAGUUGAGGGUUGAGAGAGAGUAGUAGGAAAGCCAUGUACCUCUUUGUGCUUUCCAGCCUCCAUUGUUGGCAGGUACACCACCUCCAAGGAGGGGUAUAAAUUCAUCCUAAAGAGGUCUUUAAAGACUCUCUUUUCCUGCACAAAACUGGGAAGCUUGGCUUCCUUGUUAGUAAUAACUAGCUUAUCAUUGAGAUGAUUAGCUAGCAUCAUAAGAAAUCUGACAUAAUAAAUAUUCCUAGGUCUAUCAGUUUUAUCACCUAGUUUCUCCCCAAUUUCUUGGAUCAUCAAACCACCAAAGUUGAAAUAUUCAUUAGUCAGGUACAUGUAAAGCAUUUGUAAAAUCUGGGAAGUAAGAGCAUUGAAAUUACUAAUCUUACCAGAAAAUGCCUUAAUAAAAGCAUCACAUAAAUAACUCCAUUCUCUCCUAAGACCCCUUCUUUCUAUUUUACCUAAGGCAUCAGUUGGCAAAACAUAAUUCAUGGCAUAAAGUAAAUUAACCAACUGAUUAUCACUAGGCAAAGAUAAAACAGUAUUUUCAGGAAUCUUAAAGCAUGCUUUCAUAACAUCAGCAUUGACAGAGUAAGUUUUAUUAUUGACAGAGAAAGUUAGAGUUUCAUGCUCACUAUUAAACUCUGCAGAGGUCCACAUUUCCUCAACUAUUUCAUGGUAGAUGAUGGGAGCUUCAGUCAUAGCAUAAGAGAGCUGGCUUGACUUGAUGAACUCCAUCAUCCUGUGAUACUCUUUCUCCUCCACAGCCUUGGUAUCCACAAAUGACGCAAAGUUGUUCUUCUCAUAGAUAAACCCACUUGGUGCAGUGUACUUCUUCAUUGGUGCCAUUGCAGUUACAGAGAAAGCUUGAAGAGAAAUUAGAACUUGUUUUUGCACAGAGAGAGAAGAGAGCUUUGAGAAUUCGAAAGAGUGAGAUGAAAAGAAAUGAAAAUAAAUUAAAACACUUAAAUACUUUCUCAGAAAAUUGCUGUGAUUGGCUGAGAAAUUACCGUUGAGAAGAAAUUACUCUUAUUUAUCUCUACAAAAAUUACACACACGAUCGUGUGUAUAAAGUAGGUGAGAGACAAAAGAAAUUUCAACGGCUCAGAUCUGAUAAUACUUUCAACGGAUGAAAUAAGCGCCUCUUUAAACUUCCUAUUCAACUGAUGAAGAUCAGUUGAAGGCGUCUUCAACUGGUGUCAUCAGUUGAAUGAAAAACAACGCAAGAGGAUAUUGUUUCAAGCAUCAGUUGAAACAAUUUCACUAGUUCAUCAGUUGAAAUAUUAUAGACUUUAUCCAGAAUUAUAAUUAAUUCAAUUUUGAUAAAUCAAAAUUAAUCAAAUUCUGGCUGCCAAAUUACAGAAAAAUUCACUCUAAAUUAGGAGAAAUUUAACAUACCUAAUUUACUUACCAACCUUGUGAAUGUGGAUUCAUCAAGAGGCUUUGUGAAAAUAUCUGCAAUCUGUUCUUCACUUGGAACAAAAUGCAUUUCAACAGUACCAGCCAUCACAUGUUCUCUUAUGAAGUGGUAUUUGAUGUCAAUGUGCUUGGUUCUUGAGUGUUGUACUGGAUUUUCAGUUAUAGCAAUAGCACUGGUGUUGUCACAAAAUAUUGGGAUUUUUGAGAGAUUUAAUCCAUAAUCAAGUAAUUGAUUUCUCAUCCACAAUAAUUGUGCACAACAGCUUCCAGCUGCAAUGUACUCAGCCUCAGCUGUAGAGGUUGAUACAGAAUUUUGCUUUUUGCUAAACCAAGAAAUCAAUCUGUCACCAAGAAAUUGACAGGUGCCUGUUGUACUUUUUCUAUCAAUUUUGCAUCCUGCAAAAUCAGCAUCUGAAUAUCCAAUUAGAUCAAAUCCAGAGUCUUUAGGGUACCAAAUACCAAGAUUUGGUGUUCCCUUAAGAUAUCUGAAUAUUCUUUUUAUAGCAAUAAGAUGUGAUUCUUUAGGAUCAGAUUGAAAUCUAGCACAGAGGCAUGUAGAAAACAUAAUAUCUGGUCUACUAGCUGUCAAAUAUAAAAGAGAACCAACCAUGCCUCUAUAAUUAGAGAUGUCCACAGAUUUCUCAUUAGGACUUAACUCUAAUUUGGUGGCUGUUGGCAUGGGAGUCUUAGCUUCUUUGCAAUCCAAUAAAUCAAACUUUUUAAGUAGAUCAUAGAUGUACUUAGUUUGAUUUAUGAAUAUACCUUCCUUUACUUGUUUAACUUGUAAACCAAGAAAGUAGGUGAGCUCUCCCAUCAUGCUCAUUUCAUACUGACUUUUCAUUAGAUUAGCAAACUUCUUGCAAAGUUUCUCAUCUGUAGAACCAAAAAUUAUAUCAUCUACAUAAAUUUGAACCAGAAUAAAGGCACCAUUUACAUUUCUGUAAAAUAGUGUUUUAUCCACAGUUCCUCUGGAAAAAUGAUUAUCUAACAAGAAUUGAGACAGAGUGUCAUACCAUGCCCUUGGUGCUUGCUUUAGUCCAUAGAGUGCUUUUAAUAAAAAGUAAACAUACUCUGGAAAUUCUGGAUCUUCAAAACCAGGAGGCUGACUGACAUAUACCUCCUCUUCCAGUUCACCAUUUAGAAAAGCACUCUUGACAUCCAUUUGAUAAACUUUAAAGUUUGCAUGAGCAGCAUAGGCCAGGAAGAUUCUUAUUGCUUCCAGUCUUGCAACUGGUGCAAAGGUCUCAUCAAAAUCAAUUCCUUCAGAUUGAGAGUAUCCUUUAGCAACAAGCCUUGCCUUGUUUCUGGUGACAACUCCAUUCUCAUCCACCUUGUUUCUGAAUACCCACCUUGUUCCUACAAUUGUUCUGUUUUUAGGUUUGGGUACCAGCUUCCAUACAUUGUUUCUCUCAAAUUGAUUUAAUUCUUCUUGCAUAGCAAGAACCCAAUCAGCAUCUUUGAGAGCAUCUUCUAUGACUUUAGGUUCAUCCUGUGAAAGGAAUGCACUGUACAAACACUCAUCUUGAGUUGCUCUUCUUGUUUGUACAGAUGCAUUUGCAUCUCCAAUAAUUAGCUCAAAAGGAUGAUCCCUUGUCCACUUUCUUUGUGGUGGAAGUGAUUGUCUUGAUGAUGUGGCUUCAUUAUUGAAGUUCAGGUUUCCAUGUUGGAAAGCUCCCCCUAAAUUUGACAUCUCAUUAUUUCUAGACUGAUUGAAACUUUGAGACAUUCUUUCAACUGAUGAUCCUUGAGGUGUUUCAACUGAUCCCUCCAAUGUAGUUUCAACUGAUGCUUCAGUUGAAUUUCCAAUUGCAGUUGUUUCUUGCACCAGAGAGUCAUCAGUUGGAAUAUUAAUUCCAGGAUUAAUUCCAACAUUUUGAAUAAUGUCAUCAUCAUCAUCACUGUCAUACAGAUCACCUUCACCUUCAUUUUCAAAUCUGAGAUUAUCAUGAAAUCCUUCAUCUGAGAAUCCUUGAAUCUUCUUAUCAUCAAAAACCACAUGGAUUGAUUCCAUAACAAUGUUGGUUCUCAGAUUAUAUACUCUAAAUGAUUUUCCAUCAGAGUAUCCAACAAAAAUAGCUUCAUCUGCCUUGGCCUCAAAUUUUCCAAGAUUUUCACCUUGAUUUCUUAGAACAUAACACUUGCAUCCAAAUACAUGAAGAAAGCUAAUUGUUGGCUUCUUUCCUUUGAAGAGUUGAAAGGGAGUUAGAUUAUGAGGUUUGGUAAUUAGUGAAAUGUUUUGAGUGAAGCAAGCAGUGUUCACAGCUUCAGCCCAAAAAUAGGUUGGAAGUUGAGCUUCAUUAAUCAUGGUUCUUGCAGCCUCAAUAAGAGUUCUAUUCUUCCUUUCAACAACACCAUUUUGUUGUGGAGUUCUUGGUGCAGAGAACUCAUGAAUAAUUCCCUCUUCUUCACAAAAUUCUUUCAUCACAGAGUUCUUGAAUUCUGUUCCAUUGUCACUUCUUAUCCUUCCAACUUUGACAUCUGGAUUGUUGUUUAAUGCCUUGAUAUGAUUGAUGAUGAUUUUCCCAGCUUCAUCCUUAGAAUGCAGGAAGAAAGUCCAAGUGAAUUUUGAAAAAUCAUCAACAAUCACUAGGCAAUAUUUCUUCUUUGAAAUAGACAUGAUGUUGACUGGUCCAAACAAAUCCAUAUGCAAGAGCUGAAGGGGCUUCACAAUUGAUGAAAGAGUUUUGCUUUUGAAAGAGCUUCUCUUUUGCUUUCCUAGCUGACAAGCUCCACAAAGUCCAUCUUUGGAGAAUUCCAGCUUAGGUAGACCUCUUACCAAGUCCUUCUUUACUAACUCAUUCAGGGUUUUGAAAUUUAGAUGAGACAAUCUCUUAUGCCAUAGCCAACUGUCAUCUGAGCUUGCUUUGCUGAGAAGGCAAGUGAUAGAUUCAGACUUUACAGAAUUGAAGUCAGCUACAUACACAUUUCCUUUCCUUUGUCCAAUCAGAACCACAUUGUUGUCAUCUCCUUUGGUGACAACACAGGCUGCAGGAGUGAAAUUAACUUUGUAACCUUUGUCACAGAGCUGACUGAUGCUAAGCAAGUUGUGCUUAAGACCAGACACCAAUGCAACUUCAUCAAUGAUGACAUUCUCUUUUGCAAUCAAGCCAUAUCCCAUAGUAUAUCCUUUGCUGUCAUCUCCAAAGGUAAUGCUAGGGCCAGCUUUCUCCACAAACUUUGUGAGCAGGGAGGAAUCACCAGUCAUGUGCCUGGAGCAUCCACUAUCCAAGUACCACAAAUUCUUCUUGUGGUUUCCCUGCACACAUUUCACAAACAGAUCAAGUUGAUUUUGGUACCCAAAUUGCUUUGGGUCCAGAUUUGUUAGUCUUAGCAGCCUUUUCCACUUUCUCAACCUUUUCCUUGGAUUGAAUUGGUUCAAUCUUUGGUUUUGGUUGAGAAAUUGGAAUAUCAACUCUGUUUUCAAACACAGGCCUUUGAGACAUGCAUAAAUUGUUCAUUCCAUGCAAAUUUGAAUGAAAUUGAGGCAUGUUAAAGGCAUUGAAAUAAGGAUUGAACAUAUAUGGCAUGUUAGGCUGAGAAUAAGGAUUGUGAGGCAAUAAACCAGGCAUCAUAUUCAUAGCAGAUAAAUUCAUGUGAGGAACAGAUGUCAUAGGAAUAGGCAAAGAUAAAUUAGGAGCAAUCACAGUUUUACAAUUAGCAGAUAAAUGAUUUACACUACCACACUUACUGCAGGUUUUCCUAAGAGCACUAGCAUUGGGAGUGUAAUUGGUGUGCUUGUUAACUCCUAUUUUGCCAUUUCUAUUUCCUUUCUUCUUUUUAGUCUCCUCAGAUUUAUGCUCACUAGUAUCCAACUUCUUCUUGUUCUUGUUACUGGAAUUAAGAGUGUUAUUAACACUAUCACUGGUCUCAGAAGAACUAUUCUCACCUUUAACAAAAUUCUUUUUAACAGGACCAUAUUUCUUGUUAAGCUUCUUGAGAACACUCUUGUCAACUGAUGAGUUUUUGUUCAACUGAUGACUCUCAUCAGUUGAGACUUUGCUCUUCAACUGAUGAUCAUCAUCAGUAUUCUCAUCACCUGAACUGUUCUCAGAUAUCUCAAGCACUUUCUUAUUCCUCUUCCACUCAUUCUCUACAAAGGUCUCUCUACCUUGCAUGUUGAUGAUAUUGGUGGAAACAUCCCUACCAGAUUUCCAUUUGGCAAUAAUCUCUUGUUCCUUAUCAAGCUGCUUUCUUAUGAUCUCUUCUCUUUUCAGAACAACCAAGAGAUCAUCCUUGGCUGUCUGACACUCAAUUUUCAGCUUCUCAAACUCAAUAAAUUGAGCUUCUAAGACACUGUUUCUAUCACUAAGAAAGGUGUUAGCUUCCUUAAUUCUACUAUUUUCCUUAGUGAGAGAUUUUAAAGAAACAUGCAAAUGAUACAAUUCUGUAGACAUUUCAUUAAUGGUAGCAUUGCAUUCAUCUUUAGUUAACUCAACUAGGUUUGUAGUGAAUACCUGACUACUGCUUCCAGUGUUUUCUUCUUGAUCUGUGGAGUUGGCCAUUAGAGCUAGAUUGACAAACUCCUCCUCUUCAUCAGAAUCAUCUCCAGCUGCCCAAUCAUCCUUUGUGAUGAAUGCUCUUUCCUUUUGUUUGAGAAGUUCAUAAUAUUUCUUUUUGUAGUCAAUGUUUUCACUUGACUUCUUCUCAACUUUAGGCUUUCUGCACUCAUUUGCAAAGUGACCUGCAUUCCCACAGUUGAAGCACUUGAAUUUUGAUCUGUCUACCAUGCUUCUAUCAGACUUGGGAUUGCCUUUAAAAGAUUUUGCAGAAUUAAAAUUCUUUUUGAAUUUCAGUUUGGAGAAUCUUCUUGACAGGAAGGCUAGAUGUUCAUCAAUUCCAUCACUUUCUUCACCAGAAUCAGCUACUUCUUUCUCCUUUCUUCUUCCUUUGCUUGACUCUGAGCUCUCCUCUUUGACCAACUUCUCAGUUUCUUCAACUUGAGACUUUCCCUUGUCCUUGACAGUAUCCUCCAGAGAUGCAACUAGAGCCACAGAUGAAUGCCCUUUCUUUUGGCUUUUCUCAAUCUCUUCAUCUUGCUCCAUUUCAAGCUCAUAAGUCUUUAAGGUUCCAUACAGUCUCUCUAGAGUAUAGUCUUUAAACUCUUGUGUAUUUCUGAGAGAGACUGUCAUGGGUUUCCAUUCUUUGGGAAGAGCUCUUAAGAAUUUCAAGUUUGAAUCCUUAACUUGAUAUACUCUUCCAAAGAGCUUUAGACCAUUUAACAGUUUUUGAAAUCUGUUAAAUGUAUCACUCAAACUUUCACCAGCCUUGAAAUGGAAUGACUCAUAUUGUUGAAUCAGAAGCUGCAUUUUGUUCUCUCUCACUUGCUCAUUCCCUUCACAGAUGGUCCUGAUGGUGUCCCAAACUUCUUUGGCACUUGUGCAGCUAAUAACACUAUCAAUCAUUUCUUGAUCCAAACCAUUGAACAGAAGGUUCAUGGUUUUCUUGUCCUUGUGCACCUCCUCAGUAUCUUCUUGAGAAUAUUCAUGGACAGGUUUUGGAAUCAUCUUACCCACCAUGUCUUCACCAUCAGCUCCCAUGCUUGUGCAGACCUUCAUGGGGACAUGAGGUCCUUUUUCAAUGCAGUUCACAUAGCUUUCAUCAAUGGACAACAGAUGCAGAUGCAUUCUCACUUUCCAGUGAAAAUAGUUGUCUUUGUCAAGAACAGGAAUCUUCACUCCAGCAUCCUUCUUUCCCAUCUUUCUCUAGCAGUGUUGAUCUUUUUCCCUGUUUGUUGGGAACCUCGCUCUGAUACCAAUUGUUAUUUUACACCAACUAUGAGAAAGAUUGUAGAAGGGGGGGUUGAAUACAAUCUUUUACAAAUUUAAAAGAUUCAAGAAUAAUACACUAAGAACACAGUAAACAGAAAAACACCAAGUAUUAAAAAUACGGGUGGAUUGAAUGAUCCACCCGUGAGAUUUUAUAUAGAAGAAUCUGUGGAUUGUUUACAAUUCGCACAGCUGCUGGUUCAUCACUCAAAAAAGUUCUAACUCUCAGAUUUUUCUCUCAAGUAAUUUGAACAAGUUCAACUGAUGCUACUAACUUGGUUAUAUACUCCAAGUUUUACAAAGCUUUUAGCUAGAUUACAAAAUGCACUCUAAUCUAAAAACAAUGCUGCACAACUUUGUCUUAUGCAUGCUUUCUGAGAUGUCUUCAUCUUUGACCAUCAUCUUGAUUUGAUCCAGAUUGCACUGCAUGAGAUAAGUAUGUUUCUGCUUCUUCUUUAUUUUCCUAAUUAGGCUUCCAUGUCUAUUUUAGUGUAAUUCGAUCCAUGUGAUUUGUCAGACUUAAGCUCUAGUCACUUUCAACUGCUCUUUGCUUCAUCAGUUGAAAGUUCUGGUUGCUUUCAACUGCUCUUGACUUUAUCAGUUGAAUGCCCGGCUCAUCAGUUGAAUGAAUUACAAACUCCAUCAGUUGAAUGCUGUUCCAGUCUCAUCAGUUGAAUUCCUCAGCAUCAUCCGUUGAACACUUUGUCUUCAGUUGAAUGCUUGAUUUUCAUCAGUUGAAACAUCAUCCAGUCUUCAUCAGUUGAAUAGUUACAUCUCAUCAGUUGAAUAUCCUUCACUUAGAUAAAAUUACAUGGCAUUGGAUAUUUACAAUUAGCCAUCCUAUUCUACCCAUCCGUUGAUAAUUCCCAAAGACAAGAAACAUAACAAUUACAACUGAAAUUUGAUAAAGGUUCUAAGUAAGACAUGUUACAGAAUGUUUAUGUUAUCAUCAAAAAAUAUUGAUUCCUAACAGAGGGAAUGCCCAUUCCAUCAAGGCCUAGUUGUGAGGUCCAAUACCUCGCUCCAAAUUGAAUUACGUCACGGAUUUAUAAUUACUCCUAACUAUUAAAGGUAACACUAAUCACUACUUUUUAUAUCAUAGAAGGAGACACAGUGUGUAGUUAUGUCCAUCCUUGAUGUGUAUGGACGAGUCAUUAAUCCCCAACGAUAGUAACCCAAUAGAGAACAAUGUAAGGUCUCCUCAUAAAUUACCAAGACAUACGAUUAUCUCAAUCCUCUAAGGACGACUAUUCAUCAGAAUGCAGGAUCAAGAUAUGUGAACGUUCUUCAUACUACCUCAGAGGGCUUUCAAUAAGAAUCAUGAUCAACUCAAACCCCGCACAAAUAUAACCUCACAUAAUACAUGAUUAAAGAUUAUAAAUUAGGUUGGAUAGGCUCGGGGUGCUAAGAUCUUCAUAUCCCCGAAGGGGUGAGUCUUCAACAUUAUCUUAUGAUAAACGAAAUCCGGUGCCGGACAAAGUUGUUUAGCAUGCGUGUUCAGUUCCUGAUUUUUCUGUGAUAGAUAAGGAUGACAAAAUUAUUGGAGGUGUUACACAACAGAAAGAUUUGAUGAACGGUAAAUUAGGAAUUUCAAAUAAAAGGGAUAUAUCUGAUGGAGGGAAAUCCGAUCCAAGUGUCAAAAGUAUUAUUGUGGAAAAUAAAAAAAGAAGGACAGAUUGUGAGGGGGAGGAAUCUAUGGGUUUUAAUACGGAAAUUGGGCAUGAAUCAAAAAAUGAGAAUAUGGAUCAAGAUGAUUUAAUUAGUGGUCCAAAAAAUGGAUUUGGGGCGGGUUCCGAAAGUCGGGCAUGCCUAGGAUUAUGACAACCUUUAGCUGGAAUUACCACGGGCUUGGAACCCCGUGGGCUAUUCAAUUCCUAAAGGAUCAAAUGAUCCAAAAGAAGCCCAAUAUAAUUUUUCUAAGUGAAACUCUUUGCAGAAAAGAGAAGGUUGAAAAUGUAAGAAAAAGAAUAGGUUUUGAAGGUGCGUCUCUGUUGAUUGUCAGGGGCAGGGAGGGGGGUUGGCAAUGUUUUGGAGGAAUAAGGAAGAAAUCACAAUUCAGUCUUAUAUUGCCAACCAUAUAAACACGAUUGUUGGAAUCCAAGGGUGGCAUCAGUUUAGACUAACGGGGUUGUAUAAUGAGCCUAACAGGUUGAAAUGUGGAGAAACCUGGACUCUUAUUCGAAAUUUGCAUACUCAUAAUCAGCUUCCUUGGGUGAUAAUUGGCGAUAUGAACAACAUUUUGGGUCAAGCUGAUAAAAGAGGUGGUCCUUUGUAUCCUUCAUGGUUAAUUAAUGGUUUUAAUGAGGCAUUAGAAAAGUGUGACCUUCAUGAUUUGGAGCUCCAAGGUUACUCUUUUAUGUGGGAAUUAGGACAUCGCACGGACAAAUGGGUUGAAAUACAUCUUGACAGAGUUGUAGCUUCUAGUUCGUGGCUGAAUUUGUCUAAAGAUGCAAGGUUAGUCAAUCUUGAGACCUCAACCUCGGAUCACAAUCCUAUCUUACUCGAGCCAAUAGUAUCUAUUGACUUACCAAGAAUUAGAAAUCAUAAGUUUGAAAAUGCUUGGCUUCGUGAGCCAGUUUGCAAAUUAAUUGUAAAGGACUCGUGGAGUAAAAAUCAGGAUGAAAGUUUGCCAGUAAAAAUUGUCAGAUGCAUUGAAGAAGUGGUUGCUUGGGGUCAAGACUUUACUAGUAAUUUUCAUAAGAGGAUCGAGAAGUGCAAGAAAAUCAUAAAAAAUACUAAGGGUCGAAGAGAUACAAAAUCCAUCCAAAUACAUCAAUGUGCAACCAAGGAAUUAUCAAAAAUUCUUACUCAACAAGAGAUUUUCUGGAAACAAAGAUCGAAGCAGUUGUGGUUAAGGGAAGGGGACAAGAAUAACAAAUUUUUUCACACCACCACUCGAGCCCGAAGGAUGAAUAAUCAAAUAAAGUUCUUGUUGAAUGGAGGAGAUCAGGUGGAUUGAGAACGAGGUUUGUAGGAAUUAACGAUAGAGUAUUUUAAUAGUUUGUUUGCAUCAUCGGAGUCGAACUGGAAUCCAGUUUUCAGCUGUAUUGAUAGGAAAAUCACAGUCGAGCAGAAUGAAGCUAUGCUGAAAUAUAUUGAGGAUCAAGAGGUAAAGCAAGCAAUCUUUCAUAUGCACUCUGAUAAAUCCCUUGGACCUGAUGGUAUGAGUCCGGGAUUCUAUCACAAAUAUUGGCAAACAGUUGGAGGUGUUGUGAUUCGAAUGGUCAGGACAUUCUUUGAUACAAGUACUCUAGGAGAGUGGUAUACGGAUACUAAUAUUGUCCUUGUCCCGAAGAAGAAAAAUCCUCAAUACAUGGUAGAUCUUAGGCCACUACAAUUUCAGGUACAAGAUUGCAUCAAAGGUACUUGCUAAUCGCUUGAAAGAAGUAAUUAAUUAAUUCUUUAUGAAGAGCAGAGUGCCUUCAUUCCAUGCUGUUUAAUCUCGGACAAUAUUCUGAUUUUGUUUGAAAUUAUCCACUACAUGAAGCGUAAAACAAGAGACAAGAAAGGAUGGAUGGCUCUGAAGCUCGACAUGAGCAAAGCCUAUGAUAUGAUGGAAUGGAGUUAUAUUAGAGCUAUGCUUCUUAACUUAGAUUUUGCUGACUUAAUUACUGAUCUUUUCAGGCAAUGUGUGACUAGAGCUCAGUAUAAGAUAGCUCACUCGGGUAAAGAAUUUGGAAACAUAAUUCCUCAGAGGGACUUGCGUCAAGGUGACCCUCUCUCCUCUUAUAUGUUUCUACUCUGUAUGGAGGGCUCAUUAGCUCUUAUAAAGUCUUAUGAACGACAAGGUCUGAUCACAAGAAUCAGAGUAGCCAGGAGUGCUCCAUAAGUGUCCCACAUGUUUUUCGCGAAUGAUAGUUAUAUAUACUGUCAUGCCACUAAAGAAGAAGUUACACAAGUAAUGGAGAUUCUAGCUAUUUUCAAACAAGCAUCUGGAUAGAAAAUAAACACAUGCAAAUCUAGUGUUUUUUCCAGUCGAAACGUAAAGCAGGAGAUCAAGGACGCAGUGAUUGAAAUUUUUGGUUUUCCUGAAGCUGACUCCAAUACUCAAUGCCUCGGACUUCCAAAUUGUAUGAAUAUAAAUAAAGCGGCAGUCCUAGGAUAUUUGAAGGACCGAGUUUGCAACAAAAUUCAGAGCUGGGAUGGUAGUCUUUUAAAAAGGGGUGGUAAAGAAGUUUUACUCAAGAAGGUAGCACAGUCAAUUCCUAUUUAUGCAAUGUCGGUCUUCUUACUGCCAAUACAGAUGUGUAAAGAUAUGGAACAGAUGAUGUGCAAGUAUUGGUGGAAAUCAGGGAAGAAAGAAAAAAGCAUUCAUUGGAUGAGUUGGGAGCGUAUGUGCGUCUCAAAAUUUUAUAGAGGUCUUGGGUUUCCAAACAUCCAUGAGUUUAAUAUCUCUUUACUGGGGAAGCAAGGUUGGCGAUUAGUCAGAGGCCCAAACUCACUAGUGGCUCGAAUAUUCAAAGCAAAAUCUUUCCAAAUGAGAGUUUUUUGGGUGCUAAAUUAGGUGCAAACCCGUGUUUCGUUUGGCGUAGCUUUUUAGCAGCUCAGCAUCUUUUAAGACAGGGCCUGGGGCGAAGAGUGGGUGAUGGCAGGUUAGUCCGAAUCGAGAACAAACCGUGGUUAUCGAGCACUGAAAAUCCGUUUGUAAUGACUGAAAGUGAGUCUAUUAAAGGACAAACAAUAUCAGCUUUGAUGGUCCCUAAGGAGAGGCAGUGGGACGCAGAUUCGAUCAAAGAUAUUUUUAUAGAGUGAGAUCUCAAUCUUACUCUUGCUACUCCGCUAUCAAAUGGGAAUAUAGACAUCUGGUAUUUGAGAAAGGAGAAGUGUGGGAACUACUCAAUUAAAACAGCAUAUAUUUUGCUUCAAGAAUCAAAGCACCUACCCAAUCAAAUUGGUAAUAAUAGUUUUUGGAUAAGGCUUCGGAAUUUAACAGUCCCUCCAAAUAUCAAAAACUUUAUGUGGCAUGCUGUUACGGAGUGUCUUCCAACGAAGGACGUGCUUAGAAUGAAACAGGUUAAUGUUAAUGUGGUGUGUGCUCUCUAUAACAAUGAGGUGGAAACUGUGAACCACUUGAUGUUAGAAUGCUCAUUCGCAAAAUCUUGUUGGGGAAUGGUUGGUACUCGAAAUAACAAUACUACUCAGGUAUCUUUCUCUGAUUGGGCUUUAAACGAUUACAAUGUAUAGAGUAAUGAUGAACGUCAAAUGGGUGCUAUGCUGUGCUGGAGAAUUUGGAAGUGUCGAAACGAUUUAGUGUGGAAUCAAAAGUGCAUGAAAGUAGCAUUCGUUCAGCUAGAGUGGCUCUUAGUCAAUGGAAAGAAGUUUAAGACAAAUUUCUCGAUCGAUCUUGGGCAUUGCUAAACCCAGACGAUGGUGAUGAGCUAUGGACUCUUCCAAUUGAAAAUACGACUACGAUAAAUACUGGUGCUGCGGUUUAUGACUCUUCUAAUCGAAAUUCCUAUGUAUUUGCUGCAAGAAAUUAUAAAGGAGAGUUGUUAGAAGCUAGAUCCAGCUGUAAAGAAGGAAGAACCACUCCAGAAUAUGCUGAAUCCAUGGGCAUAAGGAAGGCUUUGAGUUGGAUCAAAGGAAAGCAGAUGCAGAAGGUAGUGGUGGAAACAGACUUCCUUGUAGCUGUCCAAGCUAUCAGAGGUAGUGCCACAAUGUCAUCGUACUUUGGAGUCAUAGUUCAGGAGUGCACAAACCUUCUGAUGGAAGUGAAAGACAAAGGUGUAGUCUUUAAGUUUGUAAAGCGAUCUGCGAAUAGCUUAGCUCAUGUAUUUGUAAGCUGUAGUGAUUCUGUGUAGCUGACCGCACAUAAAAGAUAAAUGAUGUCUCUCCAGAUAUUAUUCAUGUACUUGAGAUCGAUCUGCAGUAAUGAAAUUUAUUAUUUCUCUGGCAAAAAAAAAUGUCAUUGACUGGAAAGCGCGACCGCAUGAAUUUUCUCUUGAAAAUUUGAAUUGUAAAACUUCUUUUCAAAGUCUAGUCGAGAAAUUUCUAGGUGACCACAACUCCAUUUCUUUACUGACAUUUAUUUGUUUAUUAAUAUUAGGAAAAAACGUAGGGAACUUCCGGGCAGAUGUCAGAUUCUCAAAAUCAAAUACUUCCUGAAUAUAUUAGUUUGUUGAUAUUUUUGCAUGUAUUUUUAAGAAUUUUAAUUAUAUAUUUAAAAAUUAUUAUUUUUAUACUUUUUUGUGAAUAAAAAUAUUAGUAUUUUAUAUUUUUAUUUAUAAAAAAUUAAAAAAAUAAUAUUGUUGGAGCGAGAAUGUGUGGUUAUACCUCCUGGAUCAGAGUAUGUCACUUAAGUGCGGUUUAUUUUGUUCACGUAGUUUGCAGGCUAUUACGUGAGCUUGUGGGUUUACCGAUGCAUACCCGAAAGGUAGCGGUUGAGGGUUCCUAUAUUAGAAAAAAAAUAAAAGAUCAAAGUAUAAAACUAGUCUUUAUCCGGGUCAACAUUCAAAAUGCAUGCAAACGUAUAUACAAAUUAGAACGCUGUCGUUAUACUCUCCCAAGUACUGGACCACUAUGGCGUGCUUUGAAACGGAAGAUACCGCGAUUUGCAACAAACAUUUCCUUGUACUCAUUCUAAGUUUCUAAGUUCUAACAACUACUGCCACCUCUUAGUAUAAUUUUUUAAGAUCUAAUCUUUAGUUCAAUUUUAAUCAUUACUGAAUGUUAACAAUAUGUAAAAGGUAGAGUGUGAUUAGUAGUUUUAAAUAAAUAGCAAGAAUGGGAAAUUUAUAAAUUUUUUUUGAAAAGUAAUGAUUCAUACUCCUUUUGUCUGGUGGCGUGAGUUGUUUAUACUUAUAAAGUAUAGUUCUAUAAAUUAUUUUAAAUAUGUUUUCUUUUAAAUAAAAAUUUCGUGUUUAAUUUGUAUUAAAAAGAAUAUUUAAAAAAUAAAUUAUGAAAUUAUAAUUUAUAUAUAUCUUAAAAUGUGUCAAACAUUUAACGAAAACACUAAAUAAACAAGUGGGAUUAGGAGUAUAAAUGAGUCGAGUCGAGCCGAACUCUAGAGUGCUCAUGUAUCAUUUGUUAAAAAAUUAGCGAACUCGAGUUCGAGCUCGAGUUUGGAUCGAGCCAAACAAAUUGUUUGAGGAUCGACUCAUUAAGAAAUAACUUUGUUCACGAACGGCUCGCGAACCGCUCACAAACAUGUCUCACGAGCCGUCUGAUUAGCUUUUGCUCACGAACCGCUCAUUAACUUACGCUCACGAACGUGUCUCACGAAUUUUUGCUAACCACCCGCUCAUUAAUUUUGUUCACAAGUUUGUUUAACAAACUUUACUAACAGCUAGCUUAUGCUCAUAAAUUUAUUUACGAGCUGGUUUGUUAUUUAAUUUAAUUAAAAAUAUAUAUUAAAAUUUUAACAAUAUUUAAAUUAUUUUAAUUCAUAAUAAAUUAUCCACUAAUAAAACUCCCACAUGCUUAAUCCAAUAUAAACAAAAAAAAAAAACAAAGUUUGACAUAAAUAAAUUAUAUAAAAUAGAACAUAAUUGUUUGAUAAUUCGAACGUGUUCACGAACUAUCGAGUCGAACUCUAUGUGCUCAAGUUCAGCUCGUUCAUAAAACAAACCGUUUUCAAAAUCGACUCGUUUAUGAAUUGAACCGAGUUUUUUUCGAACCAAAUACCGAGCAGUUAUCAAGCGUAUCAACUCAUUUACAGCUUUAAGUGGGACCGAGCCAUAUUUGAGGAAUACUCCCUUCCUCCUCUCAAUUAUUACUUUUGGGGCAUUAAAUCAGGAAUUUGGCAAAAAGCUUGUAUCUUGUGUAGCCUGCAUGUGUGUGCGUCAUUGUCUCGUGAGUCGUGUCUAGUUGAAUAAAAAUAUACUAUAUGUUUUUUUCAAAUUUGUCGUGUCUAGUUGAAUAAAAAUAUAUAUGUUUUCUUCAAAAUUGUUGAGUACAUGCAUCUGAUACCGAUUUAUCUAAUAUUUAUUUAAACUAGCUUAUAGCCCGUGCAAGGCACGGGAGCUUUUUAAUUAUUUAUAAACUUUUUAAAUAUAUUUUAAAUGGUGUGAAAAAUUAAAUUUAUAAAUAAUAAAUUAAAAUAAUAUGUAUCAUGCCAAAGUAUUAAAUUCUUUCUAUCAAAUUUUGAAUUAUUUUAAGUAGAAUAUGUGACGUCAACUCCUAUUAGAUUAUAUUUAUAAAUGUAUUUUAUAUUAGAAUUAUUAUACUGUGAUUAAAAUAUUUUUCUAAAUAUUUUUAUGGUUCGAGAUUAAAAUUGAUAAACACAAUUUGUUUUGAAUUAAGAAGAUGAAUCAUAAACAUGCAAUAAGAUAGUAGAAUUUGUUUUGGAUUAAGAAAACAUUUUUGUAUUCGUUCCUCACAUAAAUCGGGCAUAUUAAUUUUAAAAUAUUUUAGAUAAAAAUAAUUUUGUGACGGUGCGAUUUAUACGAUUGUACAAUUAAAAUUGGUAGGAAACAUUUAUUUUGGAUUAAAAAAAACCAAAAAGACAUGAAAGACAGAAUUUGUUUUGGAUUUAGAAAAAGAAUUAUAAACAUGCAAGUAUAUAUCAGUUUCCUUAUAUAACAUAAUUUAAUUUAAUUUUAAUCUAAUGGUGCUUAUUUGUUCAAUAUACGAUCCAACGGAUGAUAAACUUUUGGACCAUAGGACCAUGCGACCAAAUUAUCUCCCUUACGCUUAUUAUAUAUAAGUAUAUAAUAUGAAACUGUUUAAUUUAUAAUCUAAGCUUUUCAAGUGAGAUUAGUAUGGUUUGUGUCGCUUAAUUAAGUUGGGCGGUUGAAUUAAAAUAUCAUAGGUUUUCUAACAACCAGAAAGUUUCGGAUGUUUGUUAGAGCAUGCUACUAUAAGUUGACUCUUCGAAAUAAAAUAAUGUGGAUUCUACGGGUGUCUAUACAUUUUUCGGAAAUAAUACUAAACCAGAGAUAUCGAUCCAUUUGAUUUAUACCAUUUUCCAGAAAUAAAUAAUUUAUUUCUUAACUUGGUACUGUUUAUUAAAAUAAGUGACAAUAUUUUUGUGAAAAAAAGACAAUAAAUACUUAUUAUAUAUUUUAUGUUAGAAAUUAUUCCGUCCGUUCCAUUUCUUUACACUUUCCUUUUUGUACUAUCUAAUUCUUUACAUUUAAAAACUUAUCAAAAAUAAUCGAUGAGUCCAACCACUUCCUUCAUUUUUCUUCCACUGUCUCUUUUUUAUACAUUAAAAAUCAAUUGAUCCAAGCUCCAUGCCCAACCCAUUUGAUAAAAAACGGGAUGGACGGAGGGAGUAUUAUAUAAAAUUAUAAAAUUUAUUCAAAAUUAAUUCCUUAUCUUCAACGGAAAAAUAUACACCAAACAUGUUGUAUGGCCAGAUGACUAUAAGGCGCAUAACAUGUGUAAAUUAUUAUAGAGUAUUUAUUAAAAUAUCGAUUUUUUAGAUUAUUUUUCCUGUAUUCACAAUCUUUGUAAAAUUCUGGGGAAAAUACGUUUUGCAACUACAAAUAUAAUUAGUUGCAACUCAUAAACAAAUACAAUUCAAUGUAACUUUAAUUAGAUUUAAGGUUUAGUAUUAGGGAUUAACUUUUUAAUAGCAAGAUUUAGAAUUCAAUUUUAAUAUUUAGAAUUUGGGGUAUAUUAUUUAAUUUUUAAAGUCUUAAAUAAUAAUGACCCCUUAUAUGUUAAAAAAAAAUCUCAACAGAUUAAUAUCAACCAACUUAUAUAAGAAUCAUUUUAGAGUAUGUCAUGUGUAAAAUUUCUUCAAUUUUUUAUUUAUUUUAAAAUGUUGGAAUUAUAUUUGAAGUUGAUUCUGAUCGCAAAUUGCAGCUCUGUAAUAUUUAUGCUAAAAAUAAACUUUAAAACAUCAUAUUGUUAUUAUUUUUCCAUUUUUCAUAAUUGAGUGUUUAUAUUAUGACGCUACCUAAAAUGGGUACUAUCAGGUCGGGUGAAUUCAAUAAUUGUGAGAGUUUUCACAUUCAUAUUACGAUACUUAUAUCUAAAAUUUAGGAACGGGGUUGAAUAGUUCUUGGGGAUUUAAACACAAACUAGAAAUUAAUUGAGUGAUCAGGAAUUAAUGAGAAGAAAUAAUCAAACUUUAGUAAGUAUACUUUAUUUUAUUAUUACAUAUGAUAUAUUAGUAUAAUCAAAAAUAUAUUAAGUAGGUUUUAUAAUGAUUAAUCAAAUUUUAAAAAUUAAAAUCUAAAGGAAGUUAGUAUCCAAAGAUAUUUGGGUACCUUAUAUUGAUGGUGGCAGGUGAAACACAAUGGAACGAUAGCUAGUGAAGCAAAAGAGAGCCCCAUAACUAAUGUGAAUUAGAGACUAUAGACAUCACCUUCACUGAAGGAGAUGAUGAGUGGGUCCCUCACAAUUCUGCUUUGAUGGUACCUAUCCGGAUUGGGGCCUUGAACAUGCAUCGUGUGUUUGUUGAUAAUGGAAGCUUAGUAAACACCCUCUAUUACGAUACCUAUAAGAAGAUGGGAAUACCAUGGAGGGACAUGAUAGUUCAAAACAUAUACUCGUACGGGUUUGGAGGAUAAGCUAUCAAAGCGAAGGACAAUUUUAGAUUACCACUGAAUUUAGUCGAGUCUCCCAUACUACUACUCAAAUUGUGGAAUUCAUGCCGAUUGAACAUGAGUUGGCGCAUAAUGCAUUAAUUGGCCGCGUUCGUAAUGGGUAUGAGAGUGGUUACAUCAAUUUACCACAUAUUUAUAAUAUUCCCUACUCCUGAAAGAGUUGGAUGUGUGAGAGGUUGCUAGUAAGAAACUCGGGAUUAUUAUAGUCGCUCAGUGAAGGAUUUUCAGAACGGGCAAAACCUAAAGGAUGAGUUAUUGAACUAUGAAGAACGGAAGGUCACCCUUGUAUCCUGUACAACUCCCCAAAAAGCAGAACCUCAGGACACACCCUCAAACCCAAUGAUUAAAGGAACAGUCUUUCAGAUGAAAUCACGAUGGUUUUACACCCUCUAUUAUGAUACCUAUAAGAAGAUGAGAAUACCAUGGAGGGACAUGAUAGUUGAAAACAUAAACUCGUACGGGUUUUGGGGGGCUAUCAAAGUGAAGGGCACUAUUAGAUUACCAUUGACUUUAGUCGAGUCCCCCGUACUGUUACUCAAAUUGGAAUUCAUGCCGAUUGAACAGGAGUCGAUGCAUAAUGCACUUAUUGGGUGCCUUCUGAAUGGAUAUGAGAGUGGUUACAUCAAUUUACCACCUAUUUAUAAUAUUCCCUACUCCUGAAAGAGUUGGAUGUGUGAGAGGUUGCUAGUAUGAAUCGCGGGACUACUAUAGUCGCUCAGUGAAGGAUUUUCAGAAUGAGCAAGACCUAAAGGAUGAGUUAUUGAACUAUGAAGAACGAAAGGUCAACCCUGUAUCCAGUACAACUCCCCGAAAAGCAUAACCUCGGGCCAUGCCCUCAAAUCCAAUGAUUGAAGGAACAAUCUUUCAAAUGAAACCCCGAUAGUUUUGGUAAUAAUGGGAAGGCAGUUAUACGUGAGUUGUAUCCCAUCAUCGAACUAGAGGACAACAUUCCUUUGGAGGGCGAAAUCUCUCAAUUUUUGGAAAAAUUUAAUGAAUACAAUUUCAAUUUGGCCCCAAAAAUGCCUAUGCUUGUCAGAAUGCAGGAUCUGGCGAGGAUGAAGUAGAUGUACAGGUAGUCCCGGGGAGUGAUGAUAAGACUUUAAAAUAGGGUCCCGACUAAAUCUUAAGAAAAAGUGAAAACUGGUGGAGUUCUUAAAAGCUAAUCUUGAUGUAUUUGCUUGGAGUCAUGAGGAUAUGGUGGGAAUAAUCCAGCUGCUGUGUCAUCAUCUGAACAUUGAUCCAUCGAAUAUCAACCUAAAAUAGUUGAUUAUCCAAGAUUAAUAUAUGGGACACAGAAACAGUACCGUAGAUUUCAAUACUCGUGGUUUGAAAAAUUCUCUUGGUUAUCAUCUUCUGAGAUCACGUUUAUGGGGGAGUAAGGGGUGCCCGUGUUUCUAAGCCGGGGGUCUUCACUGAAACAACCUCCCUACUCUUUAGAGUAAGGGUAUGGUCUGCGUACAUUUUACCCUCCCCAAACCCUGCUCCAAGCGGGAUAUACUGGGUCUGUCUGAUUUGGUUUGGUUCUUUUUUUUUCACAAUAAAACACCUCCUCAUCCAACAUUUACCACUGAUGGAUUUAAUUAUUGGAAGAGGGUUAAUGAUGGAGUUAGAUGUCCACUUUUAAUGCAUGUUGAAGGUCUAACUUCACCACAUAGUAAUGCAAUACAUUGUGUUAAAGAUUUAAUAAAAGUUAUGGGGCAUACUGACAAAGUGCCUAGUACCCAAAAUUUGAAAGAAAUUUAGAAGAAACGAAUGUGACUUAAAGCAACAAUUGAGAGUGUUCGAGGGCUUAGCUUGCUAUCUUGUCCAUUUAGAGGUAAUAAUGAAUCUCCAAAGUCUAGCAAUCAUGGUAAUCUUAUCGAGAUGAUCAGAUUUGCAGGUCGAAUGAAUGAAGUCAUUGGUGAUAUAUUCUUAGAAAGAGGUCCAAAAAAUACAAAUAUACUUCACCGACUAUUCAAAAAGAAGUUUUACAUAUUUUUGCAAAUGGAGCGAGAAGAAAAAUUUGUGAAAAAAUUAAAGAAGCAAAAUUCUGUAUUUUAGUUAAUGAAGGCAAAUAUUCUGCAAAUAAGGGAGGGAUGUCUAUUGUUUUGAGAUUUGUUGACCGUCUUCGUAUUAUACGAGAGCUUUUUUUAAGAUCGUUCAUGUUUCAAACACCACUGCCUCAACAGUGAAGGAGAAAAUAUCCAUUGUCCUCUCCUGAUAUAAUUUACAUAUCUCUCAUAUGAGAGGUCAGGGUUAUGAUGGUGCUAGAAUAUGUCUGGUUUCUUGAAAUGGACUUCAAGCUCUAUUUCUUAAUGAUUCUCCUUAUACCUAUUAUAUACAUUGGUUUGCUCAUAGAUUACAACUAGAAUUGGUUGGAGCUUCCAGAAAAUGAGAUUUUUAUGUGGUUCCCCCGCCAAAAAAAAAAGAAAUAUCAGUCAUUUGUAAUCUUAUUGGUUGUUCUCCCAAAUUGGAUAGUGAGUUACAUUCUACUCAAGCUAUUAAAAUUGCUCGUAUGAUAACUUCAAGUGAACUUGAGACAGGUAGAGGCAUUAAUAAGAUUGGUAAUCUAUAUCGGAGUGGUGCCACUCGAUGGAGCUCUCAUUUUGAUAUAAUUUGUAGUUUAAUUGAUAUGUAUGGUGCAACCAUUUCAGUGCUUGAAAAUAUUGUUGAAUAAGGAACAUCUAGUUCACUACGUGGAUAAGCUGGUGGUUGUUUGGUAGUUAUGAAAUCUUUUAAAUUUAUUUUUACACUUCAAAUGAUGCAUUAAAUCAUGGAAAUUCCAGACUUAAUUUGUUGGACACUAUAACAAAAGUCUCUUGACAUUUUAAGUGCCAUAGAUCUAGUCUCAACUACUAAAUCACUACUUGUAACCUUGACAGAAGAAGGAUUUGAUCAUCUCCCUAUAUAUGUGCAAUCCAUUUGCACGCAACAUGGAAUUGAAGUUCCAAAUAUGAAUGCUUUGUACAAAAGCGCAACAGGACGUUCUUGCCAGGCAAAAGACUCGAUGAAAAUCUACCAGCACUACCAUUUAAAAAUAUUUAUUUCAACAAUAGAUUUUCAGCAAGAAGAGUUGCAUCCACGUUCAGUGAUGGAGCAGUGGAACUCCUUACACUCACCUUUGCUAUAGACCCUAAGGACAGCUUUAGAUCAUUUAAAGCUGAAGACAUUUACAAGCUUGCAGAAAUUUUAUAUCUAAGUGACUUUAGUGGACAAGAAUUGCAUUAUCUAAGAAGUCAACUUGAGCACUAUAAACUUGAUGUGAUUCAUCAUACGAGCUUUCAAAAUAUGACUCCUAUCAAUGAAUUGUGUCAUAGAUUAGUUGAAACAAACAAGAUGGAACAUUAUAAUUUGAUUGAUCGAUUGAUUCAGCUUGUUUUGACAUUACCAGUUUCUACAGCCACUCCCAAAAGGUCUUUCUCAGCUAAGAAACUUAUUAAAACUGGUCUACGAAACAAUAUGGAUGAGGCAUUCUUGGCAGAUUUUAUGAUGAUUCAUAUUGAGCAAAAACUUGUUGAAGAUAUAGAAAUAGAUCGAUAAUAGAUGAAUUUUAUGCUAUGAAAAAUCGAACAGCGCAACUCAAAUGAAAUAAGAUUUCUUAAAAUUCAAUUUGUUCCCAAGUGUUAAGAGUAGCUAUUUCAUUUACUUUCUGAAUUUUAUAAUUUCAUUACAUUUUAUGUAGUUUUAAUUUUACGAGCCUGAUUGUCAUGCUGUUUUUUGCAGGUACGGUCCGUACGAAGCACUUGAUCCUAAUGUUCUACUGCUGGUUUGCAAAUAUUGAUAAUUUGUUGGUUAAUGUGUCCUGGUUUGUGGCGUUGCAGCCUACUUCAAUAAGCAAUUUUUUGUUUUAUAGUCAGUAAUUUAUUUAAUAGCCCAGGUAUGAUAAUUUUCCCAGCUCCACCCUUGAUUGCAAUGACUAUAUUAUUCAAAAUCAAUAUUAUAAUUCAUCUGAUUAAUACAGAAAUCAUAAACAACUUGACAUGGCUUUCAAAAAUAUACUCUAGCAAAGUUUUAGCUUUAUAAAGUGUUACCCAAAAGUGCGUGCAUCGUAUGGGGAUUCAUGAUGUCACAAAAAAAUUAUUUAUAAUCAUCAAGAGCCGGUGUAUAGAAAUUUUUGUGUACUUACAAAGAAUUGCACCAUCCUUCAGCUCCUUGAUCUCUACAACCCUAAUGAUCUCUGCUAUCCUGAUCCUGUUCUUUUAGGGUUUAAAAUGGGUUAGGGACUUCAAUUCCCAACCCCGCCCAUAUAUAUUUUUUCCUCCCCGUUCCCGCCUUUAAUUCUCAUCCCCGCGCUACUGGGGACUUUAAAUAUUUUUGCUCCAACCGCCUUGUCCCGCUCUUAUAUAUAAUUUUAAGCUUAAAAGGAUAGUAAUUUUUUUCUGAGAAUUUAAAAAAAUAUAUACAAUACAUGUAUACUAGAAAUGCGUACGUGUCAUGUAGCCAAGCACUAAAUAAAUAUAUGUAUGUCAAAUUAGGAUAACAAUAUAACCAUGCAUAAUAAUUUUAAUAUGAAAAGGGAUAAAUAUAUUAUAAUAAAUAAUAUUAUAUAUAGACACACAUACAUAUGCAGGGCGGGGCGGGGCGGGGCGGGGAAUCCCCAUGGGGAUUAGACAUAUACCAUACUUGCCCUAGAUUUUGGCGGGGCAGAAUAUUACUCCCCAUCACUACCACAUUCCACGUAUUAACGGGACGUGUCUGCCCUAUUCGGGGCGGGUUAGAGCGGGUUCCCCAUUUCCCCCACCUCAUUUUGAACCCUAUGUUCUUUACACCCUUGAAAUCAUCUUCUUUGUCGCUGUUGUCGUCGAUGCUUUCAUUAAGUUCCUCUUCAAUGCUGGCUACGAAACCUCUUCAACUAUAAAACCUCAUUCGCAGCUUCAAGUAUAAACCCUAUUUUUUUUAUUUUUCUAUGAUAUUAUGAAUGAGUUAGAUGCUUCAACACCAAAAAAUUCAUACCAAUCUUCUUCAGCAUCUACUCAUUGCUUCUGGUACUUCUGUGCCAAGACUCCCUUCACUUGAUGUUAACAAAAAGGGGGAGAAGCAAAGACUACAAUCUCCAGCUGAACUAGUUGCCAGUAUCCCUCCUCCAUACAACAGAACUCCAACUGAGCUUAAAAUUCAAAAGGAGGGGCAAGAUUGGAUGAGAUUACAGCAAGGGUUUCACUACCUUCAACCACAAUUCUUACAACAACAACAACAACAAUUUUCAAUGUGCUUUCACCUGAGAUUGUUGUUCCAUCUAUCAAGGAAAAGGGUGAGCCCUUUGCUAAAAAUGAGUUCAGGCCCUCAUUUCUUGCUCCAACAUACACUGACUAUACCAGAGCUAGAAAAAAGUCAAGUGGCAUCUACUUUGCUCUUGCAAAGCGUAAUAAAUACAAACUUCUUGGAGUGAAGAUUAAAAGCGUCAAAGAAACUACAAAUGAUGCUCCCAAAGCACAUUUUGCAAUCAUCUACAAAGAAGGCCAAUAGUUAUUCAUUGGUUCUGGUCAUCCAAAAUUCUCAUUUGCUAAAGCUAAGGAAGUUGCCAAGGAGUGUGAAAGAAGGAAACUUCAACUUCAAAUGGCUUCACUUGCCGACAAAGAAAUUGAAGUGGAUGAGAGGUUUUCAGUUGAGUUAGAGGAAGAAUUGGAAGCUGAACUUAACAUGGAGAAGAGUGGUGAAGAUACCUCCAAGGAAACUGUGAAGAAGAGAGCAAGGGUGAAGGCAACUGCAAAAAGGCCUAAGAAAGCAGCUGAAAAUAUGGAGUCUACAAAAGUCUCAAGACCUUCUUCUCCAAUCAAAGAAAAUGUUGUCAACAUCCAGAGGUGAACUUCUUUGAGGAACCCAUAAUCCCCAAAGAAGAUCCAAUAGAUUUUGGCAAUAUAUUAAUUCCAUCAUUUCUAGUUGACAAGAAGGAAGUGCAUAAGAAGAAGAAGGGAAAUACAAAGGCAAAAAAAGUGGUUAAUGCACCCAGCCAGCCAAAGAGCCUAAAAAUAAAGAUGAUCAUUUGCACAUUGCAAACAUUGAAGAGUUUUCAGAAUUGGAUCUAUAUUUGGCUGAUCUGAUUAAAGUCGAAGGGAUUGAUGCCUCUUCAAAAUUGCCAGGAAGGCUUGUCUUUGUUUACUGGAAUACAAAUGAUGAUGUUUGGCCUCUCUACUGGAUUCUCCAAGAAGGGUUUAACACACUUACAAGAAUCUAUGGAGUAAUGAAAAGGACUGGUGGCUCUACUCCUUCUGCAAAACAAAUAAUAUUGAAGAGAAUCUUAGAGAUAAGAAAGGAAUGGUCUUUUGAUACUAGUCUUCCUAGAAAACCGAAGAUCCCCUACUGGAAAGAAAAUUCCUCAUGAACCUUAACUGAUGAUGGAGUCCAGAGAUCAAGAAGGAUGUAGGAGAUUUUUAAGACUUAAAGAUCAACUAAAGAAGGCUAGCAUUGAAACCUUAAGAGUUCUGCAGUCCAAGCUGAACAAGAAAGAUAGUGAUGAAGCUUGGUUUUAAAAAAAAUUUCAAAAGCAAAUUGAGAUCAAUAAAGAAAAGCUUAAGAAAAGAAGAAAAUCUUCUAGGGACAAGUGAACUGCUAAGGCUAGAGGAGCAAUCUGUAGGGAUGGCAACGGGUCGGAUCGGUUCGGAUAUUUGUGAUAUCCAAAUCCAAACACGAAAAUUUUCACCAAACCCGAACUCGAUCCAAACCCGAACGAAUUUGAAAAACAAAACCCGAACCCGAUCCAACGGAUUUCCGAUCGGGUUCUGGUUUUAUCCAAACCCGAAUUUAUGCACAAAUAUUUUAAUUGAUUCAGUACAAGUAGUUUUAAUAAGAGGAAAGAAAUCUAGAGAUCAUGUUUGAAUCACCAAAUAGAGAAGUUAUAGGUGGAGGCGGAUAACGGGCUCGGACCGACACAGAGUAAGAAAACCUUGCAUAGAAUAGUGAAGGCGGACAUCGGGUUUGCAGACUUGCAGACGACGACUUGACUUGAAGGUGAGUAGGCGGUGAGAUCGUAGUCGGUGAGAGUAUUGUUGUAUCGACCCUUUGGAUUAUUUGAAUUGCACAUGACUCGGUGACUGCCUGUGCCUGAUUGCCAGAACUACUUAGUAACUUACUCCUAUAUUAGUAUAAUAUAAAACAUAUUAAAUAAUAAUUGAAAAUUGGUUUAUUUUGAAAAUUGAAAAUAUAUGUAUAAUAUAUAUAUCAUGGGCCCAAAAAAUUAUAAAUAAUAUAUAUAAUAUAUAUUAUUCAGAAAUUUUUUCGGGUUGUGGGUUUGGAUCGGGUUCGGAUCGAGUUUGAAUUUCAGGUCGGGUUUCGAUACGGAAUACCUAAUAUCCAAAUCCAAAUCCGAACUCGUUCGGAUCUAAAAAUCAAAUCUAAAUCUAAACCCAAAAUAUCGGGUUCGGUAAAAUCCAUUCGGGUCAAGACGGUCAGAUAUCCAUUCGGAUCGGAUUUUUAUGUCAUCCCUAGAAAUCUAAAAUAUAAUUUUUCUUACCUUUUGUAUUUAAAUUUUUUUAUGUGUUUUGUUAUCAUCAAGUGUAGAUUUUAUGUCUGUAUUUCCUCCAGUCAUAAAUUGGGGGAGAUUGUUAGGAGUCAAUAAUUAUGAUAACAUAACACAAUGUAACAUGUUCAAGUUAAAUGUUUUAUCAAAUUAUCAGUUGAAAUCUUUUUUUAUAUUGUUUUGAUAUUCAUCAACGGAUAGGUAAAAUAUGAUGACUAAUCAUAAAUAUCGAAUGCCAUGUAAUUUUAUCUAAGUGAAGGAUGAUCGACGAAUGAGUCACCAGCAUUUCAGCGGAGGAAGUCAGCUAAAUUCUCAACGAAUGAAUCCUAGAAAUUUCAACGGAUGAGUCUUGUGAAGCAGUCAACAGAUGAAACUUGCAAUUCAAUCAACAGAUGAAGCAUAUUUCAACCGAUAAGUGUAUAUCCGUUGAAAAUGACUUGAGCUUAAUUCUCACAGAUCACAUGGGUUGAUUGCACUAAUUUGGACAUGGUAGCGUAUUUGGGACAAUAAAGAAGAAACAAAAACACAUCUGUUUUAUGCAAAGCAACCUGGAUUAUUUGAAGAAGAUCAGUCAAAGAUGAAGACAAUUCAGAAGACAUGCAUAAGACAAAUAUGGUGCAACAAAGUUUAGAUUAAAGUGCAACAUUUGUAUUCUAAUUAAUUUUGUAAACUUGAGAUGUAUAACCAAGUCUGUAGCAAUAUUAGAACUGUUAAAAAAACAUUAGUAAAGCUAGAGAGUUUAUCUAAGAGUUCUAGUGUUUUACUAGCAGCUGUGAAUUUGUAAAAUCCACAUAUUCUUCUUAAUAUAUUUUUACGGUGGAUCAAACAAUCCACCUGUAUUUUUAAUACUUCGUGCUAUUUCAUUUCUGCAUAUUUGCUAAUGUUUAUGUUCUUGAAUCUUUUUAAUUUUUAAGAGAUUGUAUUCACCUCCUCUACAAUCUUUCUUAUAGACUUGUCUAAAAUAAUAAUUUUUAUGGUAUUCAUAAAAAUCAUAAUAUGUUCGGGAUACCUAUUUUAUAAAAAAAUAGUUCAUGAUAUUAAAGGAAGGAACACUUUUGAAACAUUAACCGUUCAUUCAAACCAAGCAAAUUCUCUACAACCAUAAUUUGGUUAAAAUCUUUCAAUUAUGCCUGUUCACAUUACAACUCGCGAAUGUAACCAUUCCGGGCAUCUGAAAGGCAAAAGUUACUCUACGAUAAUCUCCUCCUCCGGUAAAAACAAUCAAUUUUUUUACUUCCGUAGCUCCCAUAUUCCUAAUACAUAAUGAGGAUUAUAUGUUUGUAGGUUGGGUUAGUGGUUCGAUAAUUUAAAUUUGCUAGAUAUUUACUGUGUGAUGCUGUCAGGUAUACAAGUCCGUUGUAACCAUUUAAUCAUUAUUAGUUAAAUGGUUAUUAUAUUUAAAUAGAAGCUAUUAGUACAUCAAGUAUUAUGACUGUGAACGGUGUGGUUUCAUUUAGUAUCUGCAUUGGGCCAUGGGCCAUAACGGUAUUUUGUAUUAUCCAGUUAGUUGAUGCCACGUGGCAGUGAGGGGUUAUAUGUCGUAGCUUGCAGGAGAGGAAAGGGUGUGGAAUGUUUUGUGCUUUCUUCUUCUCUUGUUCCAUCCUGUUCUUAAUUUUCAAGUUUAUCAAUACAGUAUUUUCGUUCAUUUACUUGUGUUUAAUUCAAUUUACGUUUGAAUUUCUGUAACUAUCGUUACAAGUGGUAUCAGAGCUGUUCCUUCCUUCUGGCAUGGGGUUAGUUUCAUGGCUGACGGUACUCGUUUGAAGAAUUUGGAUGAGAGGUUGGGGCUGUUAGAGAGUAAGUUCACGGAGUUCACUUCUGAGGUGGGGAAUGAUAAAGAGAUUCAGAGCAAGCAGUUGAAUGAUAUGAACAAAACCCUAGAGGUCUGGGCUCUCAAGUUACUCAAAUCAGUGUAAAUUUCGAAGAGGUUAAACUGUUCAUGAUGGAUCUGCACAAGCAAAGACCUCCACAGGGGUGGUCGCUGAAUGGUGACUCUCACAGGCCUAUCACCACAGCUGGCACGAUUCUGGAAUCAGAAGUGAUUAUUGUAGGUGAGCCUUCCUCCUCCCCUCUGUCUACUUUUAAUCCAUCUCCUAUGUUUCACCAAUUUGUGCACAUGCCACAUCACAUUCCACUCAGUACUCCCCACACACUCUAAUCACCCACACCACCAACUAUGCCACUAUCUGCUGUGUACACCAUGACCACAACGUUUCCGUCUGUUUCCUUGCCCACGUCCCCUUCUUGCUUUACUAGAGGCUACCCUCCCCAUAAUGCUAUGAUGUUUCCACAACCUCACCUGGGAUACCCAGGGCAGUUCCCAGCGUACGCAUUUCCCAAUCAUCACCCACCACCUGGCGGCCAUACAACGGGGGCCUCACAACCUCACUUUAACCCGAUGCCUAGAAUUGAGUUCCCUGGGUUUGAUGGUACUGAUCCCAAAGGGUGGGUGCUUCGGGCAGAAUCGUAUUUUGAGUUUAUUACUAUGGAUGAAUUUAAGAAGGUGAAAUUAACAGGGUUGCAUGUUGAGGGAAAAACAAAUGUACGUGUGGUAUAGGUUCUACCAGAGUAGUAGGACAAACAUCUCUAGGAAAAUCUUUCAGGCUGAUUUGAUCUCCAGAUUUGAACACCCUGAUCUGCGAGAUGUGCAGGAUCGUUUCAAUAAACUCAGUCAAACUGAUACUGUGGGUGAUUAUGAGGACACGUUUGAGGAAUUAAGAGCUUUAGUUGUGCUUAAGAAUAAACACUUGACUGAGGAUUAUUUCAUUUCCAGCUUUGUAAGUGGGUUACAGGACCACAUCAAGGGUGCAGUCACGAUGUUUAGACCUCAGACUCUGGCUGAUACUGUGUUCUUGGCUAAACAAGAGGAGGCUAAAACAAAGAAGUUGGCACCACCUACCUCUAAGCCUGUUAUCAAGCAAUUUACCACUCAUGUCUUCGACUCUAAGAAACCUUCUACUCUUGGGUUCAACAAUGGAGGGAUGUAACCUAACAUUAAAGAGCCCUUUAAACCUAAAUCGACUCUGUCAAGCAAGGAAAUCUUAGAGAGGCGAGCCAAAGGGCUUUGCUUCCAUUGUGAUGAUUUGUACCGUCCAGGUAAAGAAUGCAAGGCCAAACUGUAUUCUAUGGUGGGAGAUACGGAGGAUAGCACAGGUUCUGUAGGUGUGACAGAAAUAAUACUGGACAUGGAGGAUAUGCUUAGCACUGAGGACACACCUGGUGAGAUAUCUCUCAAUGCCAUGGUUGGCACUCAGUCCUUUAGUACAAUUCGGCUCCAAGGCACAAUGAAAAAUUUUCAGGUAAGUAUUUUGGUGGACAGUGGUUCCACUCACAGUUUCAUCGAUGAUAAAGUGGUUAAGAAACUAGGCUUAACAGCCUGCAUUUACCCUCCUCUAUUGGUAUCUCUAGCUGAUGGAACCCAAACUUUGGUAGAUACUGCCUGCUAAUAUUUGACUUACUCCAUUCAGGGCCAUGUAUUUGCCAGUGACUUGAGGGUAUUUGUAUUGGGAGGGUCUGAUAUGGUAUUGGGGGUGGAUUGGCUCAAGCAACACAAUCCUGUGAAUUUUGAUUUUAAAGAAAUUAACAUCACUAUUAGCUGUGAAGGGAAGUGUGUGGUGUUACAUGGGGACAGUAGAGUGGGCAGACUCCAAACCAUCAGCUGUAAGAAGCUGAGUAAACUGAUCAAGCAACCUCACAAUAUUAAUCAGGGCUAUCUUUGUUUGAUCAAUGGCCAAGGGCCAGGUCAAAUCAGGGAACAAAUCUUAUGGGAAUGUCAUGACAGUGCAUAUGGAGGUCAUUCUGGCCAGGAGGCCACCUUCAGAAAGAUUUCAUAGUUUUUUGUCUGGCCUCACAUGAAGAAAGAGAUUAAAGAGUAUGUAGCAGCUUGUGAUAUUUGUCAGAGGCUGAAAUCUGGUAAUUGUUUUCCAGGUGGUCUGCUGCAACCUCUCCCUAUUCCCCAACAGGUCUGGGAAGACCUAUCCAUGGACUUUAUUGAGGGCCUCCCAUAAGUCUGGAGAUAAGGACUGUAUAUUGGUGGUGAUCGACAGGUUUUCUAAAAUGGGGCAUUUCAUACCACUGUCACAUCCAUUUACUGCUACUCAAGUGGGUCAAGCCUUCUUGGAUAAUGUGUACAAGAUUCAUGGGAUGCCUAAGACCAUUGUUUCUAACAGAGAUAGCACAUUCACCAGCUCAUUUUGGCAUGAAUUGUUCACUCUAGCUGGUACUUAAUUGCAGAUGAGCACUGCUUAUCAUCCUGAUUCAGAUGGAUAGACUGAACGACUCAACAGAUGCUUGGAACAAUACUUAAGAUCUAUGGUGAGUUAUAGACCAAGGCAGUGGAACAAAUGGUUACCUCUUGCUGAAUGGUGGUACAAUUCCACCUAUAACUCUGCUAUUAAAAUGACCCCUUUUGAAGCUCUCUAUGGUUUUAAACCAAGGCAGAUAUGUUUUCCAGCUAAUUGCAGAAGUAAGAAUGCUUCUGUGGAAGAAUUUCAAGUAAAAAGGGAAGCUAUGAACAUUAUCUUACAGGAAUCCAUUCACUUGGCUCAGCAGAAAUACAAGAAGUAUGCAGAUAUGAAACGAAUAGAGGUAGUCUUGCAAGUUGGGGAUUGGGUAUUUCUCAAGCUUAGGCCAUACCGACAAGUUUUUGUAGCCAUCAAGAAGCAUCUCAAACUAGCUCAUAAGUAUUUUGGUCCGCAUCUGGUGUUAGAAAGGGUGGGGCAAGUUGCUUACAAGCUCCAACUACCCCCAGGUAGCCAAGUUCAUCCGGUUUUUCACAUCAGUUUACUCAAGAAGCGUAUAGGCACCAAGUAUACUCCUACGACUAGCUUGCCCAAACUGGGUCCAGAGGGACAGUUCUUGGUCUAUCCAUACAAGUUGCUUGAGCGUAGGUCAGUCAAGAAGGCAAAUCGAGCAAUGGUGCAGUGGUUGCAUUCUAUUGCAGAAGAUGCUACUUGGGAGGAUGCAACCACUAUAAUGGAACAGUUUCCAGAAUUCUAUCCUUGAGAACAAGGAUGUUCUAAGGAGGGGGCAUUGUAACCAUUUUAGCAUUAUUAGUUAAAAUGAUUAUUAUAGUUAAAUAGCAAUUAUUAGUACAUCUAGUAUUAUGACUGUGAACGGUGUCGUUUCAUUUAGUAUCUGCAUUGGACCAUGGGCCAUAACGGUAUUUUGUAUUAUCCAGUUAGUUGAUGCCACGUGGGCGUGAGGGGUUAUAUGUGGUAGCUUGCAGGAGAGGAAAGGGUGUGGAAUGUUUUGUGCUAAUUUCUUCUUCUCUUGUUCCGUCCUGUUCUUAAUUUUCAAGUUUAUCAAUACAGUAUUUUCGUUCAUUUACUUGUGUUUAAUUCAAUUUACGUUUGAAUUUCUGUAACUAUCGUUACAUUCGUGUAAAUAAAAUAUUACAGUAGGAAUUUUAACGAGACUAACAACAAAAAUCAACUUGUAAGUUUAUAAGUAUUUUAUAUAUUGAUCAAUAUUUUCUAGACUUAGGAGCCGUUUGGGUGAGUUUAAAAUAAGUGUUUUUUGCUUAAAAUAAAAAAGUAAAGUAGAAGUCAGAAGCAAAUUAAGACUUAUAAGUGAUUAAACUGUUUGACAAAUAAGCAGAAGUUCUGAAACAAAAGCUAGUAAUUCUAACUUUUUUUAAGUGCUUCUCUAAUUUUUACACAAACGGGUACAAAUAAGUGCUUAUAACUUAUAAGCCCAGAAAUUGGCUUAUAUUUGCCUGCCAAACACCACCUUAAUAAUUUACUUGCAAGUUGCAAAUAGCGCUUCUUUUGGUCCCACUAAUUUUCUCCCUAAUUAAAAUAUAAAAAAGUUAUAUUAUUUUCGAAAUAUAUUAAAAUUAUCAAUAUUUAAGUUUUCAUAUUUAUAAAAUAUAAAUAAUAAUUUUAUAACAUGAAGAGUAGAAUAUGAGGUUUAAAAUGAACAGCAGAGGUAAGUAAUUGUACGUGUAAUCAUGAAAGAGGUAUUAACUUUUAGAAUAUGUUAUGGUUCAACGCCGGGUACCAACAGGAAGAUUAGAAUGAAAAAGUAGAAGUCAGAAAUUCCAGUUGAAUUCAAUUUGGUCGUAGCAGCCAAGAAAUUGCUGUUAAACUUCACUUUAGUUUCCACUCACUUUUCUUUCUAACUACCGAAGUGGAUAUAAUUUCAGAUUAAAAUUAAGAUUUUUUUUUGGGGUAAGCAUUUUGCUAGUUAUUAAAUUUUUCUAUAUUUUAAGAAUAACAAUUAUUAUUAGUCAAGAUUUUAUAAAUAAAAUAUAUUAUUUUAAUAUGACAAUAGAAGAGGUGAAAUUGCUAUAAACCCGUUAAGAUUUGAUGACUAUAAUCGAUAUGUUGGAAGCUUAAAUUUUUAUGUAAGAAAAAUUCCUUGUCGAAAUAGAAUUUUUUUAUAUAUUUUUAUAAUUUUAUUUACGUCAUUUCUUAUUCAAUUUUAAUUAAAUACUUUAAUGUGUUCAAGAUGUUCUAAAACAUAGUGCAUGGAUGAUAUGAGAUGUCUAUAAAAAUCGGUUAUAUUUUAUAAAUAGUAGUAUUGUAUUUCAAGUUGUUAAGAUUCUGUUAGGAGAUAAAUUUUAGACAUAAAAAUAUUUACGUAUUUUCUUGUAAUUUGUAUUUAUAAUACUUUUAUCCAUUUUAAAACAAAAUUUUAAUAUUAUAUUUGUUUAUGAAAAAUGGAAUGAGUAAAAAUAUCUAAAAUUAAUAAAAGUGGGAUAGAGUACACAUGGAGUGAUAUAAAGGAAUGAAGUGGCCAAAACAAUGAAUUAGUUGAAGCAUGUUGGUGGAUUUUCUUUGAAAUCCUAAAUUUGAUUAAAUGAUAUAUUUGGAUAAAUAAAUUAUUUUAUUUAAAAUAAUAUUUAAAAAUCAGUAUAAAAUCAAGUUUUAAAAUGACAUCUCAAAUUUUGUCAUUGGAAAUCAUAAUAAAGAAUCUAAUUUUUUUUUUUGACAAAUAAAUGAUUUUAUUAAAAAAAACACUUAACUAACAAAUAUUGAAAACGGGACAAACCCCCCAACUCUCAGAUACAAUCCCAUUGCAUCAAUUAUGUUAAAACUUGUUUUCACUAAUUAAGCGUUGAUCUAACAAGUUGACGCAACAUUUUCCCCAGAAAAGCCUACUCUUUACAUUUUACGCAACUUGGUGUGAGUACAAUUUCUAUGAAAAUAUAUUGACUAUAAAAAUGAAACACUUAGCACUAAAACGACAGGCUUGUGCAAAUCCACUAUAAAUACAUGUCCCUAGCUCACAACUUGAGUACCACUCCUCUUGCUACAAAACUAGCCAGUAUCUACUUGCAAACUCCCACACAUUUCAUGGCACUUCAAGACUACUCCUUAGUUUUCACAGUUACAAGGCAAUCGCCGGAGCUCAUUACUCCGUCGAAAGCGACUCCACAUGAGUACAAACUCCUCUCCGACAUAGAUGAUCAGGAGGGUCUCCGGUUCCAGAUCCCAGUCAUUCAAUUUUACGCCAAAAAAAAUGAUUUCGUGGAUGCACGAAAAAUGGACCCUGUCAAAGUUAUCAGGGAGGCCCUUGCGAAAACUCUGGUGUUUUACUACCCGUUUGCUGGGCGGUUGAGGGAAGGCGCGGGGCGAAAAAUGGGGGUGGAUUGUACAGCGGAGGGAGUGAUGUUCAUUGAAGCUGAUGCAGAUGUUACUCUGGAGGAGUUUGGUGAUGCUCUUCAGCCACCAUUUCCGUGUUUGGAGGAGCUGCUUUUUGAUGUUCCUGGCUCUGCUGGAGUCCUGGAUUGUCCUCUUCUCCUUAUUCAGGUGAUCCCUCCGUCUCUUAUUACUUUUCCGUCUCUUAUUACUUUUCUUGUUUGAUAUGUCAGGACUGUUCAUAAUGUGAGACUGAUUACUAAUUUAUGUCUGAUUUAUAAAACCAAAUAUAGUAGUGAGUGAUUUUGUUGGAUUCGUAUUCAUAGUACUUUAAUACGGUGGAGUUUUUAUAUUUAAUAUUACUACAAAAUUAAAUAUAUUAACAAUCAAAAGUGUGUGUUGACAAACGUGAUAAAGACAAACAGGAAAAGUAUUAUGAGAUGGAGGGAGUACUGCAACAACUUUUAAAAAUUUGUGUUGUGGGCUUAUACAUGGUAGAUUUUGUGGAGUGACUUGAGUCGAACUUGAGUCUGGCUGAGCUUUGAUACAAUGUCAUAUGACCGGUUCUUCCGAAAUCUCAAAUAAUUAGGAAAACCUUUUUUUACCAAGAUCAUUGAAUUCUAACAGAUUUGACUUGGAACUCAAAAAAGUAACCGUAUUUGAUCUAACAACUUUUAUAUACGAUAGAGUAUCUGGAUUUCAUCUGUACUUGUAGUUGACGUAACCUAAUGAUUUACUGUUAGAAGUACCGUAACAGUUCUUGGUUCAACAAUUUCUAUAUUGGAUAAGGCAACCUGGAUUUCAUGUGAACUUGUACUUGUAGGAGCUCCAAAAUUUGUGAAACAACUAUGGUAAAAUGAAUUUGUUUCAUCUCAGUAAAUGCAGAGGUGAUGAAAAACUGAGUAUAUAGAUCCUUCCUCCAUCUAAAUUAUUACUACUACACCAACCAUCCUUCAAUUGGUCAUAAUUGGGCUUCUGUGCAAUUAAUAAUUGUGUUUACCCCAGACAUGUGGCUCACUAUAAAUAAGCCUUACAAUACAAUAGUGGAACAAGGUCCCAGUGUUUUAACCUCAUGUGGGUGAAUAAUAAAGUAAUUGUCAUAAGAUGCAACAACCGGAUACAGGAGUAAUAAAUCUGGUUUGGAAAAUAGAAAAAGACUCAUACUACUAUUUUAAGAAGACUAUUAGUUAACUGUACUACUCAGGUUUGGAGUGUGACAAUGAGAUGUUGUUACUUGGAGCUCUAACGAAAUAAGUCAGAGUUUAGUUCUUGCUUAUCGAGUUCGCGUUUUUACUUAAAGCCCUUCUGCUGAGGCUACUAUGCAAGUUUUUUGCUAUAUAAUUCAUUCACAGGUUUUAGUUUGUCAAAAAUGAAUUCUACAAAAUAUUCCAAGAGAUAAAGAUCAACCUUUACAAAAUUUAGGUUAUGUGUUCUGGUCUAUAGCCAGAAUUUUUAGCGUUCCAUAACAUAUAUAUUAAGAACUUGACUCUAGAUAUGCAGUGGUAAAUGAAUUCUAACUGUAUCGUUUAUGCUUAUGGUUUAUAGGUGACUCGGCUCAAGUGUGGAGGAUUUAUAUUUGCCUUGCGACUUAAUCACACAAUGUGUGAUGCUGCUGGACUUGUUCAAUUUAUGACUGCUUUGGGUGAAAUUGCCAGAGGUGCAAGUGUCCCGUCAAUUCCUCCUGUGUGGCAGAGGGAAUUACUUAACGCGAGGGUUCCACAGCGUGUUACGUGCACCCACCGGGAGUAUGAUGAAGUUGCUGACACAAAUGGAACCAUUAUUCCUCUCGAUGACAUGGUUCAUCGUUCAUUCUUUUUUGGUCCCACUGAGAUUCAUGCCCUCCGUCAAUUGAUUCCUCCUCACCUUCGCAAGUGCUCUUCCUUUGAGCUGCUCACUGCUUGCCUCUGGAGGAGUCGUACUCGUUCCUUGCAGCCUGAACCUGAGGAGGAGGUCCGUGUGCUCUGUAUUGUUAAUGCACGAGCACGGUUCAAUCCUCCCUUGCCUACCGGAUACUAUGGAAACGCAUUUGCGUUCCCAGUAGCUCUGACAACAGCUGGAAAGCUCUGUCAGAAUCCAAUUGGAUAUGCCCUGGAGCUUGUCAGGAAAACUAAAGAAGAUGUUACAGAAGAGUACAUGAGAUCUGUUGCUGACCUAAUGGUUCUGAAAGACCGGCCACACUUCACAGUUGUACGCAC